GACGAACCGUGCGAACGUUGUUCGGAAUCACUGGGCUUAAAGGGCGCGUAGGCGGCUUGCCAAGUCGGGGGUGAAAUACUUCAGCUUAACUGGAGAAGUGCCUUCGAUACUGGCAGGCUUGAGGGAGGUAGGGGUCUGCGGAACUUCUGGUGGAGCGGUGAAAUGCGUUGAUAUCAGAAGGAACGCCGGUGGCGAAAGCGGCGGACUGGACCUCUUCUGACGCUGAGGCGCGAAGCUAGGGAGCAAACGGG
rnacentral:rRNA from 1 species